GCAGCGGACGUAUGUCAUCGGGGGGCUGAUGAUGCACAACCAGAUUGGCAUGAGAAGAAGCUCCCAACUUUGCGAGAAAAUCAGCACAUUUGUUUCCUUCUCGUAACGUGUGAUGAAGAGACACACCAUCCUGCAGUAGCUGUUCUUGAAUUUCAUGAAGUAGGACCGCAUAGACGUGGUAAUUGGGGGAUGCAUCCUU
rnacentral:lncRNA from 1 species